rnacentral:rRNA from 1 species
UUAUCUCUGUAGAGUCUGCAUAUCAAUAAGCGGAGGAAAAGAAACUAACAAGGAUUCCCUUAGUAACGGCGAGUGAAGCGGGAAGAGCUCAAAUUUGAAAUCUUCAAGGUUCUACCUUGACGAAUUGUAGUUUAAAGAAGUGUUUUCUGUUAGAUGAGUAGCUAAAAGUUCCUUGGAAUAGGGACAUCAUAGAGGGUGAGAAUCCCGUAUUUGGUUACAUUCAUUCUAGCUUUGUGAUACACUUUCAAAGAGUCGGAUUGUUUGGGAAUGCAGUCCAAAAUGGGUGGUAAAUUUCAUCUAAAGCUAAAUAUUGGCGAGAGACCGAUAGCGAACAAGUACCGUGAGGGAAAGAUGAAAAGAACUUUGAAAAGAGAGUUAAACAGUACGUGAAAUUGUCAAAAGGGAAGCGUUUGACACCAGUGUUGUUUUUCUCGAAAAAUCAAUUAACGAAUGGCUAGGAUUCUGUGUUGUAUUGACCUUAUCAGCUUUCUGCACUCUUUUUCUAGUCUUUCUUAAUGCACUUUUCGUUUAACAAGUCAACAUCAAUUUCUCUUGUUGUAAAAGAGUAUUCGGAAGGUGGCUUUCUUUUCGGAGAAAGUGUUUAUAGCCCUAUACUUCUACAAUCGGAGAGAUUGAGGUCUGCAGCGUAGAUCCUUCGGGGUUAGAUACACUUGUGCUAAGUUGUAGCUUUUCAUAGACAACUUGUUGACUAUGUUUAGUCAUGCGGCUUACUCGCUUGUGCUAUUUUACCUACGCUUAGGAUGUUGAAGAUGUAGCACAUCAU